rnacentral:rRNA from 1 species
GAAGGUGUAUCUAGAAAGACAAAUUAGAGCUUGAAAAGUAAAGCAUUUCAUUUACAUUGAAAAGUAUAUUGUGUAAUUCAAUUUAAUUUGAUAAUAAAAAUUUAUUAAUUUUUUUUUGUUUAAAAAUUUAUUUAAUAAAAUUAAUUUUAAAUUAAGUUUUUUUUGUAUAAUAUAUAGAUCAAAUAAUUUAUAUAAUAGUUAAUUAGUAUUGUAAAAGAGUAUUGAAAUAUUUGAAAAAGUUUUAAAUUAAAAGUAAAUUUUAUAUAUUGUACCUUGUGUAUCAGGGUUUAUUAAUUAAAAGUUAAAAAUAUUUAAUUUUUCUCGAAUUUAAGAGGGUUAAUUUAUUAUUUAAUUUUUUGUUUCAUAAAAAUUUAAAAUAAUAAAUUAGAAAUGAAAUGUUAUUCGUUCUUAAAGAUAUCUAGUUUUUUAAGAAAUAAAUUAAAUUUAGAUUAUUAAUAAAUAAUUGUUUAUUUAAAUAAUAAAUUAUUAUUAAUAAUUAAUAUUUUAAGGGAUAAGCUUUAAAGUAAGUUUUAUAAUAAUUUUUUAAUUUAAAAAUUAUAGAUUUAGAAAUAGUCAUUAAUUAUAAAAAUGUUAUAAUUUAUUUUAAAUUAAAAAUAAUUUUUAUUAAUUUAAGUUUUUAUUAAAAUAAUUUUUAAAAUUAUAUAAAAAUUAAAAUAAUGAUAAAAUUAGUAUAUUUUAAUUGUUUAAAAUAAAUAAAUUGAAAGGUUAAAUUAAGGAACUUGGCAAAUAAAUACUCGCCUGUUUAACAAAAACAUGUCUUUUUGAAUAUAAUUUAAAGUCUAAUCUGCCCACUGAAAAAUUUUAAAGGGCCGCGGUAUU